rnacentral:rRNA from 1 species
UACGGAGGGUGCAAGCGUUAUCCGGAUUCACUGGGUUUAAAGGGUGUGUAGGCGGAUAUUUAAGUCAGUGGUGAAAUCUCCAGGCUCAACCUGGAAACUGCCAUUGAUACUAUUUAUCUUGAAUAUCGUUGAGGUAGGCGGAAUAUAUCAUGUAGCGGUGAAAUGCUUAGAUAUGAUAUAGAACACCGAUUGCGAAGGCAGCUUACUAAACGAAGAUUGACGCUGAGGCACGAAAGCGUGGGGAUCAAACAGG